CGAGAAAUUCAAAAAGAAAGAAGAAAGAUAAACAUUUAUAAUCACCAUCUAAGUAGAAAAGGAUAUGCCGGUCUUGAGGAAGAGAUGAUGGUUGCAAGUGGAUCAACUGAAACUAUUGAUCGAAGCAUAUUAUGGAAGAAAGCAAGGGAAAAAAAGGACGGCACCUUUGAUGAAGUGGCCAUACCAGUAAUUGAGAAAAUAGACAAGCUAUUGAAAGAGUCUCAAGAGAAUGGUAGAAGUGUUAGUGGAAGUAAUGAUAUACUUGUGGAAGCAUUGGGUACUCCUGAGUAUAGUGGUCGAGUUAGGGCCAAAGGGAAGCACUAC